rnacentral:rRNA from 1 species
AUUGAACGCUGGCGGCAUGCCUAACACAUGCAAGUCGAGCGGAUGAAGGGAGCUUGCUCCUGGAUUCAGCGGCGGACGGGUGAGUAAUGCCUAGGAAUCUGCCUGGUAGUGGGGGAUAACGUCCGGAAACGGGCGCUAAUACCGCAUACGUCCUGAGGGAGAAAGUGGGGGAUCUUCGGACCUCGCGCUAUCAGAUGAGCCUAGGUCGGAUUAGCUAGUUGGUGGGGUAAAGGCCUACCAAGGCGACGAUCCGUAACUGGUCUGAGAGGAUGAUCAGUCACACUGGAACUGAGACACGGUCCAGACUCCUACGGGAGGCAGCAGUGGGGAAUAUUGGACAAUGGGCGAAAGCCUGAUCCAGCCAUGCCGCGUGUGUGAAGAAGGUCUUCGGAUUGUAAAGCACUUUAAGUUGGGAGGAAGGGCAGUAAGUUAAUACCUCGCUGUUUUGACGUUACCAACAGAAUAAGCACCGGCUAACUUCGUG